rnacentral:lncRNA from 1 species
UUCUUUUUUCUUUUUUUUUUUUUUUGCACAGGGCAUGGCUUGAAUUAGUUUUAUUUUUCUUAACUUUAAAUAUAUAUAUGAAAAUAUAUAUUAAAAUGUUCUCUAAAUAUUUUCUGCUUCUUGCAGGUCUCUUUUUACUAGAUCAUGGCUGUUCUUCCCACCUCAUCCCUCUGAAAAUAAAAAUGUAUUGCCCUCUCCACCAUCCAUCAUAGCCAGGCCACUAACUUGACUUGGUGCAAGAGAUUCUUGCUGCGAACUUUGUAGAGCCAGUGUGCAGAUAGAAUUUGGCUUUGAGGGUUCCUGAUGGCUUUUUAGUCUUUAACUGUGUGUGUACCAGUCUCACAUUUGGCCCAAACCUCAGGAUUCUCCCUCUGCCUGUCUUACUUCAUGGUACUAGAAGACCUUCCUCGCCACUCUCUCCACAUGAGAGAGUCAGCUGCCCUUUCUCCUGUGCCUCUGCAGGAAGAACUCUCUUGCAUGGCACAUCUCAGCUCCUCAUUGAGGGAUAGUUUUCUUUGAUAAGAAACCUGGAGUCCAUUUACUCUGACCUCUCUUUAAAUCUAUAUCCAGAGCCACUAGCCCAGGAAAAACUUGGGUGACCCGUAAUUUCUCUUCUCCUGCUGUCCUUUUGCUCUUACGCCCCACCCCAACUCCCCUUAAAUUUUACAGGCUUAUGACAGUUUGUAUGUGCUCAGCCAAUGAGCAGAAAACCUGGAAAGAAUUUCUGGACUUUAGCCCACCAGUUUGUCUGGUUGACUAACCUGCUGAGAGCUAAAAUUGGCACCCAUUGCCCCGUGCCUUCAGGCAGUCUCCUGGGGCAGAGUAUGCCACCAUCCGAAUAUCAGGCACUGAGUGGGAUGUGGGUGAUGCUCACAUGACUGGCUAGAGCUUUGGGGGUGGGGUGGGGGUUAACUACUAUUUUUUUGGCCAUGAUCUCUUUCCCCUUCCUUUUUUUUUUAAUUAAAUAAAUGGAUCAAAUUAAAUAAUUCAAGCCCUGCCUUCAAAAUGAAAUUUUUUUUUUAGUAUUAUUUAGCAAAAACAAUAAAACCCAAAUUUUUUUAACCAUCAAAAAAAA